UUAGCAUUAUCAGCAGCAGCUUUAAGGCAAAAGGAGAUUAGCAAGUGGGCUUAGGGAGAGGGAAGUGCUACCUGCAGGGAGCUUCGCGGACAUCGUUGCGUGAGCUUUCCCGUGCCCGCCGAGGUCCUCGUCAUCCUCGGAGGAGGUCGCCAUUCUCAUUGAUGGCGUGCGCCUGUUGCUUGCAAAACGAACAAACCGCAAAUCCAUCCAACUCUUAGAGGCUCGACAAAUGGAUGGGGAGAAUUGUAAUAGGGAGGAUGAGAAUCGAACCGGGACGGACCUUGGCCGACAGCAGCUGUACGGAGUUGGGGUCCAGGCUGGUGAUGAGGUAGUCGAGGAAGAAGGCAUCCUUGGACGUCG
rnacentral:lncRNA from 1 species